rnacentral:ncRNA from 1 species
CGGCUCGACUCCGUGGCCUGGGGGAACGUGAACGGGUUGGGUCGCGGUGUACCCCGGUUCGAGUCCAAAGCUAAAUAAUCAGACUCGGAUCGGCCGGAGCCGCGGCUAACGUGGUAUUGGCUAUCCCGUCUCGACCCAGCCGACGAAUAUCCAGGGUACGGAGUAGAGUCGUUUU